CGAGGCCUGCAGGUAUUCAUGCCUCACAGGUGUGAGCAGGGGCUGUUUUCCACACCUGUGCGGGGCUGGGGUCCCCACACCUGAGGGAAAUCAGCUCCCAAAACAAUCACAUCUUCGGGCGGAGUGGGAGCAAGGCACAGCAGGCUGCCAUUGCAGACUGGGCCAGCCCUCACUGGCGUCCACCCUGGAGAGCCGAGGGGAGCAGGAGGCCCCAGGUGGAGGGUAGGCGGGAGGAGAGAAAGGUGAGGCGGGAGCUCCGUGGCCCU
rnacentral:lncRNA from 1 species